UACGAAGGGUGCUAGCGUUGCUCGGAAUUACUGGGCGUAAAGCGCACGUAGGCGGCUCUUUAAGUCGGGGGUGAAAUCCUGGAGCUCAACUCCAGAACUGCCUUCGAUACUGUAGAGCUUGAGUUCGGGAGAGGUGAGUGGAACUGCGAGUGUAGAGGUGAAAUUCGUAGAUAUUCGCAAGAACACCAGUGGCGAAGGCGGCUCACUGGACCGAUACUGACGCUGAGGUGCGAAAGCGUGGGGAGCAAACAGG
rnacentral:rRNA from 1 species